rnacentral:tRNA from 2 species
AGGGCUAUAGCUCAGUUGGUAGAGCACCUCGUUUACACGCGCGCCACCGAGAAGGUCUACGGUUCGAGUCCGUAUAGCCCUA